AAAUGUCCAGCAAGAUGUCUAGUUUAAGCAUGUAAAGUUUGAUGAGCAUUGGAUAAGAAUUGAGCAUUUCACAAAUGAAGAAGCAAGGCAAGGUCAAAACAUGACAUGUCUACACAAACCCUAAGGCAAAAUUAAAUCCAGCCAGGCACAAUUUGCAAAAUAAUAUCCAUAAAAUUCUAGACACAAAAUGUGACAUAAUGAAAAAAACCACAUAUUUUUUGGAGCAAUUUUCCAUUUGUUAUGAAUUUUUAAAGUUAGAAAAAAA
rnacentral:lncRNA from 1 species